rnacentral:rRNA from 1 species
UACGUAGGGGGCUAGCGUUGCUCGGAAUCACUGGGCGUAAAGCGCACGUAGGCGGCUUUUUAAGUCAGGGGUGAAAUCCUGGAGCUCAACUCCAGAACUGCCUUUGAUACUGAGGAGCUCGAGUCCGGGAGAGGUGAGUGGAACUGCGAGUGUAGAGGUGAAAUUCGUAGAUAUUCGCAAGAACACCAGUGGCGAAGGCGGCUCACUGGCCCGGUACUGACGCUGAGGUGCGAAAGCGUGGGGAGCAAACAGG